rnacentral:rRNA from 1 species
ACAUGCCUAUAACAUAGCGUUAAUGCAUCGGAUCCCAUUAGAAAUCUGCAGUUAAGCGCGCUUAGGCUAGAGUGGUACUGGGAUGGGUGACUGCUCGGGAUGUCCUAGCGUUUUACAUGCC